rnacentral:lncRNA from 1 species
GGUCCCUGUUCCCAUGGCUGCCGCAUUUAUUAUGCAUGCGCCCCUCCUGUUCCAUGAAGGUUCUGGAUGGAGGUCUCAUGAGGGAUUUGGGCAGAGGCUGAUGAAAACAUAAAACGGGCCAGUCUCCAGAUUCAAAGGAGAGCUGGAGACAGCAUUCGUAGGUUGACCAGGCAGCUUUGACCAGGUGUGACAAAGGAAGCCCAGGUGUCCCAGUCUAUUCAUGUUUCUAUCACAAAAUGCCUUUGAAUUGGUAAUUUAUAAACAAUAGAAAUUUAUUUCUUAUCGUUCUGGAGGCCGGAACGUCCACAAUCAAGACACCAGCUGGUUCCCGGCCUGUGAGGACCCAGCCUCUGCUUCCAAGAUGGCGCCUCUGGGCUGCAUCCUCACAUGGGGAGGGGGUGGGAGAAGAAAAGGGGCUGAGCAUGCCCUUCAGCCUCCAUUAUAAGGCGUGGAUCCUGUUCCGAGGGAGGAGCCCCCAUCACUCAGCCUCCUCUCAGAAGGCUCCACCUGUUAACACCACACGGGGCUUAGGUUUCGCUGUACGCAUUUGAGAGGCAUCUACAUCAUUCAGACUAUAGCACAGGGUGGCCCCCCACUGCUUCCCAUACUGCCAGAGGCUGGGGCAGCCCCCCGGCCACCAUGUUCCGCCAGCAGGAUGGCUCCUGUCAGCCAGGUGUGUGGGGCCUGGGCACACUGGCAAGAAGCAGGGAGGGCAGCCCAGACCCGGCCGCCCUGUGGCUGCUCCAGGAGGCUGUGUCCCUUUUGGAGACUGUGACAGAUCCACGAUCCGUCCCAGCCAUUGCUCCAUCUGUCUUGUGCAUCAACCCCUCUGCCAGUAUCAUAUGGUAAAUAGUACCAGGAAUACUACAGUUCCAGGCACCCAGGUCACAUCAGAGAACGGACGAGUUAGAGUUUAACGACACAGUUUGUAGCUGAGGCUGCUUUGGAGCUGAUGACUGGGAUGGCAUUGCUGCUCAGAACUGAUGACUGGGUGGCAUUGCUGUCUGGAGCUGGUGACUGGGCGGCAUUGCUGUCUGGAGCUGGUGACUGGGUGGCAUUGCUGUCUGCAGCUGGUGACUGGGCGACAUUGCUGUCUGGAGCUGGUGACUGGGCGGCAUUGCUGUCUGCAGCUGGUGACUGGGCGGCAUUGCUGUCUGCAGCUGGUGACUGGGCGGCAUUGCUGCUUGGUUGUUGUCGAGCCUCCCCGAGGUCCAAAGUCACCAGAAGGAAUGCCCUGGAAGGAGAGGGCAUAACUGUAGUUCUAGGAGUCUGAGGCCCAAUUUAACCUUUUCUCCAUCAUUCAGCAGCUUAGAAAUUCAUGUCAUUCCCCCUCUAGGCCUCAAUUUCUCUACCUGUAAAAUGGGGUGUUUGAGCCGAAUUCCCUUUACCUGUGAAAUCCUAGGACCCCAUCAUGUCACUUUCAUGCAGCAGAGGCAGCGACUACUGGAGAGGGACACGAAGGACUGCACCUGGAUCUUGUUUAAACGCAAGGAGCUGGGUUUUGAAGACGCCACAAGGGACUUUAGGACCCUACGUUACUUAUCGACAUCAAAAGAGGAGAAGAUAAAGCCUCACAAUUCUUCCUCCCACUUCCUCAGGUGGCCAGUGCUGCUUUUAUUGUGGAAUGGGUUUGCCACAAAGCCUCAGGCUGAUAGAUAAGACUCGGGUCUCUGAAAAAUGACAGCUUGACAUCAAACCAACAAAAUCAAUUUCCAAAUUGAUUAAAACCAUCCUCAAAUAAAACUCUGCUGGCUUUCUCAAAUCCCAUUGUAAAAGGUCAUCUGGGAAGUAAGUACCAUAUUUGUUUUAAGUUAGCAGGAGCCCGCAGCGCACUUGAGGCCCUACAGUUUCAGGGCCAGGCUGGGCUGACUGGGCCCACCCACGCCUCUGCCCUCACCACAGCCCCCAGCUCCAGGGUGCCCACCAGAGCCAGGGCAGGAAGCCACCUCCAGGCUGGCCCUUCGUCUUGGCUCUUUGAAAAGCUUUGGGUGAGAUGUGUCUCUUGGAUCAAAUAAACAAUCAACAAUUGGCUGCUAUCAUUAAGGGAGAGGGUUACUGCUGAGGGAGACAUAUCCUGGGGGCAUUUUGUGUGUUUAUGGGGUGAUUUAUGAUUCAUAGAGAUCAAGCGAUAAAAGUACUGAAAUGCCAAGAAAGAAAAUUGGAGAGAAAAAUUGCUACAAAUUUUAUUCUGAUUUUUUUAAGGAGAUUUAUUUUAUUUGCAAGAUUUGUAAUUGAUGCAAAGCCUGUAAAUGCAGGUUCCCCACUGUCAAAGCCUCUCCCUUUCAGACCCUUUGUAAAGGCGUGACCUGCUUCCAGAAACGUGAUAUUUGAAAAAAUGAAAUCUACACAUUGAGAUACAUUAAGAGUGACUGUUCACGUGACAAAAGGGUUUGCCACUUUACAAAAGAUUCAUCCCAGUGUUUCUUAAAGAACUAUACAACUGCGAUGUAUUUUAAAUGCCUUUCAAUUAAAAGAAUUGACUCAUGCUCAA